AUAGCCAGUUGACACUGCCACUCACAGCGGCUGCAUGUGCUUCCUCUUGAAUUGGAGUUGACAUUAAUUUGCGGCUCCAUGGAAAGCCCCUGUGGAGUCCAGUUUGUGGACCAGUAUUCGACACUGAGCCAAACGCUUUCACACCCUCCACUCUUCCAUCACAGUAUUUUACAGCCAAUUAAGUAUUUUUGAAGUGAACUAAGUUACUUUUGGAGGAAACACACAGCAGACAAUUGGUGUACAAUGGGCUUCAGCAAGUGGCAAUGAAAUUUUGAUCUCUUUCCACAGCAAUUAUUUUGUCCCAUGACCAGCUUGCAAACCUUUGAGAAUUUGAAUGGAGCCUGUCAUCUAAGCCGUUUUGUAGGUCAGGAUAAAGGUUGCCCCAACAACUUCCAUAUGUUCUCAAAGAUUCAAAAAGCCCAAUCCAAUAAGGUGCCUUGAUGUUCUACGGAAAUCAACUUCAAUCAAUAGAGAUUGCAGUGCAAAAAGACACGGAAACACUUGAUGAACAAAUCAGGCGAGUUUGGAGGUCAGAGUUGGCAACUUUUCUAAAGAUUUAGCUUGGACGUGAGAAGGAGACUCUAUCAAGAGGUGUACCUCAGAACUUGACUGAAUUUUUGUUACCCACAGCUAGAUACAGAUAAACCCCAAAUGGUUUUCUUUCUUACCACAAUUACAAUCAUUUGGUCUUGAACAGUGGCUGAAUUCCCUGCACGUAUUUUGUAUAAUUACAAGCAAUUACACGUUUCAAACAAAAAAAAAUCAUGCCUUAUGUA